ACGUGAUCUGAGUUCAGACCGGAGUAAUCCAGGUCAGUUUCUAUCUAUAAAGGGCUUUUUCUAGUACGAAAGGACCGAAAAAGCAUGGCCAAUGACAAAUUAAGCCAUAUCACUAAAUUAUGACCGCAACUUAAUUAUUAAAAGACCUUCCAUUUAACUCAAAACAAGAGAA
rnacentral:rRNA from 2 species